CUACAUCUCUCAAGUAGCCAUUUAACCAGAGUAGACCUUGUAAGCAUCUUAAAAACUCCUUCAACAUUCUUCAUCCUGAAUAUAUUCUCUUCGGGGAUCAUAUCUAUAGACAGCCAUUACAUGAGCCGCUGUCUUUCUCUCUAUAGUACUCUCUAUAAUACUACGUAGGGACCUUACCACUAAUGGAAUUAGACAGGGCAGGAGGAGGCACAAAAAAAUAUAAUAAAUUCUACUCCUCCUACUAAUGUCUUAAUUCCUCCAAGCUGCUCAUACCAACUUCCAAACCAAC